UAGGGAAUCUUCGGCAAUGGACGAAAGUCUGACCGAGCAACGCCGCGUGAGUGAAGAAGGUUUUCGGAUCGUAAAACUCUGUUGUUAGAGAAGAACAAGGAUGAGAGUAACUGUUCAUCCCUUGACGGUAUCUAACCAGAAAGCCACGGCUAACUACGUGCCAGCAGCCGCGGUAAUACGUAGGUGGCAAGCGUUGUCCGGAUUUAUUGGGCGUAAAGCGAGCGCAGGCGGUUUCUUAAGUCUGAUGUGAAAGCCCCCGGCUCAACCGGGGAGGGUCAUUGGAAACUGGGAGACUUGAGUGCAGAAGAGGAGAGUGGAAUUCCAUGUGUAGCGGUGAAAUGCGUAGAUAUAUGGAGGAACACCAGUGGCGAAGGCGGCUCACUGGUCUGUAACUGACGCUGAGGCUCGAAAGCGUGGGGAGCAAACAG
rnacentral:rRNA from 1 species